rnacentral:rRNA from 1 species
AUACGGAGGGUGCAAGCGUUACUCGGAAUCACUGGGCGUAAAGCGCGCGCAGGCGGUCUUUUAAGUUGGAUGUGAAAGCCUACGGCUCAACCGUAGAACUGCAUCCAAAACUAUUAGACUAGAGUGUGGGAGAGGAAGAUGGAAUUAGUUGUGUAGGGGUAAAAUCCGUAGAGAUAACUAGGAAUACCAAAAGCGAAGGCAAUCUUCUGGAACACUACUGACGCUGAGGCGCGAAAGCGUGGGGAACAAACAAGAUUAGAUACCCUAGUAGUCC